AUGAAUGUUAUACACAAGUGAGGAACAUGGUCACACUAAUAGAACAAAAUAUUUUUUUUAAAAAAGUCUAACUACCGGUAUAUAUCUCUAAAAACUACGAAAGGGAAUACAAGAAAUAAAAUGGUGUACAUAUGUGGGCCUAUAAAUUAAAUCCCAACCCACUUCAAAAAAAAAUUGGAGUCCAUGGAGGAGCCCAACUCAUCUUCUCUCUCUUGCAUAUUGCCAGCUCCCACUCCACGCGUCUUUCCCCGAAGCAUCCAAAUCCCCCUCCACCGCCUGAAAUCUCACACAAACUCCCAAUAAAUUUCGAGCAAGAACAGUUUCCUCUCACCCUCGUUUCAUUUUCAAGGAAAUUUUGUAUUCACAAACUCAUCUACCAAGCUCUCACGUUAAACCAAAUUUACGCCGUCCUCUGGAGAGACCAAAACUUACACAAAGGUUAUCUCCGCAAGUUAAGGUCGGAACAAGAAAAUCAAGUUAAGGAAAUUAAACGAGCGAGGUUGAGCAGUGACGGUGGAGAAUGCUGAGCAAAGUUGAUGAUUUCCUUUUUAUUUUAAGUAGAGGCUCUCAGUGGUGCAUGUCUCCAUACAUGUGACCGUAUUCAUUCCGCUGCUUAUUGUUCUUCUAUACUCCGAUAAAUAAUUAUUGAAUACUAAGAUUUUCAUUCAA